GAGUUUGAUCGUGGCUCAGAGUGAACGCUGGCGGUAGGCCUAACACAUGCAAGUCGAACGGUAACAGGUCUUUCGGGAUGCUGACGAGUGGCGGACGGGUGAGGAAUACAUCGGAAUCUGCUCAGUCGUGGGGGAUAACGCAUGGAAACGUGCGCUAAUACCGCAUACGACCUUCGGGUGAAAGCAGGGGAAUCUCUCGGGAUCCUUGCGCGAUUGAAUGAGCCGAUGUCGGAUUAGCUAGUUGGUAGGGUAAAAGCCUACCAAGGCCACGAUCCGUAGCUGGUCUGAGAGGAUGAUCAGCCACACUGGGACUGAGACACGGCCCAGACUCCUGCGGGAGGCAGCAGUGGGGAAUAUUGGACAAUGGGGGCAACCCUGAUCCAGCCAUACCGCGUGGGUGAAGAAGGCCUUCUGGGUUGUAAAGCCCUUUUGUUGGGAAGAAAAACAACGGGUUAAUACCCCGUUGGUAUGACGGUACCCAAAGAAUAAGCACCGGCUAACUUCGUGCCAGCAGCCGCGGUAAUACGAAGGGUGCAAGCGUUACUCGGAAUUACUGGGCGUAAAGGGUGCGUAGGUGGUUGCGCCAGUCUGUCGUGAAAGCCCUGGGCUUAACCUGGGAAUGGCGAUGGAAACUGUGCAACUAGAGUGUGACAGAGGGUGGUGGAAUUCCUGGUGUAGCAGUGAAAUGCGUAGAGAUCAGGAGGAACAUUCGUGGCGAAGGCGGCCACCUGGGUCAACACUGACACUGAGGCACGAAAGCGUGGGGAGCAAACAGGAUUAGAUACCCUGGUAGUCCACGCCCUAAACGAUGCGAACUGGAUGUUGGGUCCAACUUGGGAUUCAGUAUCGAAGCUAACGCGUUAAGUUCGCCGCCUGGGGAGUACGGUCGCAAGACUGAAACUCAAAGGAAUUGACGGGGGCCCGCACAAGCGGUGGAGUAUGUGGUUUAAUUCGAUGCAACGCGCAGAACCUUACCUGGCCUUGACAUGCACGGAACCUUUG
rnacentral:rRNA from 1 species